rnacentral:rRNA from 1 species
AGUUUGAUCCUGGCUCAGGAUGAACGCUAGCGGCAGGCUUAAUACAUGCAAGUCGUGGGGCAGCAGGUUUGUAGCAAUACAGAUGCUGGCGACCGGCAAACGGGUGCGGAAACACGUACAGAACCUUCCUUUGAGCGGGGAAUAGCCCAGAGAAAUUUGGAUUAAUACCCCAUAGUAUAGUGAAGUGGCAUCACUUUAUUAUUAAAGAUUUAUCACUCGAAGAUGGCUGUGCGGCUGAUUAGGUAGUUGGCGGGUAAAGGCCCACCAAGCCUGCGAUCAGUAACUGGUGUGAGAGCACGACCAGUCACACGGGCACUGAGACACGGGCCCGACUCCUACGGGAGGCAGCAGUAAGGAAUAUUGGUCAAUGGAGGCAACUCUGAACCAGCCAUGCCGCGUGGAGGAUGAAGGUCCUCUGGAUUGUAAACUUCUUUUAUAUGGGACGAAAAAAGGCUUUUCUAAGUCGUCUGACGGUACCAUAUGAAUAAGCACCGGCUAACUCCGUG